UACGAAGGGGGCUAGCGUCGCUCGGAAUUACUGGGCGUAAAGGGAGCGUAGGCGGACAUUUAAGUCAGAGGUGAAAUCCCGGAGCUUAACUUCGGAACUGCCUUUGAUACUGGGUGUCUUGAGUGUGAGAGAGGUAUGUGGAACUCCGAGUGUAGAGGUGAAAUUCGUAGAUAUUCGGAAGAACACCAGUGGCGAAGGCGACAUACUGGCUCAUUACUGACGCUGAGGCUCGAAAGCGUGGGGAGCAAACAGG
rnacentral:rRNA from 1 species